GAAUAGUGACAGUGGGUUUUGGCACCAGAAAUGGGGUAGGUGAUGGGUACUUUCCCGAAAAUCAUACAAAACCAAAUCUAAUACAUCUCGCGUCUUUCGACUCCAUAUUCUCCCUACUCUCUAAUGAAACCCUACACAAGAAAAUCCUUCUUCGUCCUGUCUAUGAACACUGAAAUAAGGCGAUUUUAGUUUAUAAAUAAAGACUCUAAAAGGAUUUCAUACGGUUUAAUCAACAGGUUCAUGUUUGCGGCAUUUUUUGGAUCUAAGAAGCGUAAUUUGACAGAUUAUACGAAUACACAGUCCAGAAUUGUACUGUGCCCGGUUGAACAUUGGUUUGACCGCUUUGGCAGUUAAGCAAGCUAAAUCUGAAGGUUAUCUCUUGCAGCGCAACCUGAAAGUACUGUUUCUACCAUUGAGAAUCCAUAAUUGAGGAUGCUCCAACUUCGAGAUUUAUUUGGACAAUUGAGAGUUUUUCCAGGUUGAACACAUAGGAACACUGCCCUGAUGUAUUUUCUGUUGGUGAUUUUAAAUGACACACAACAUCGGUUCAAUGCACGAGAGAGUGAUUGGAGCUUCACAUCCUUAUGCCUCUAAAUGACCUCUAGGAUCCUGAUGAAGAUGAGGUUAUCUGUAAGGUUGUCAACAACUGGGGUGACGAUUUAUCAUGUAAAUGAAGUCUAUUCUUGCUGUGCAAAGUACUAACUCAGAUUUUUUUAGAAAAACUAUGUAAGAACAUAUUUUAAAGAAGAUGAAACCUAGCUUUCCAGCUCUUUCCAACUGAGUGAUGGGUUUCUUCUGCCACCACAGCUAUGGCGUCAAAGAAAAAUGUCUUCAUACCUGAACAGAUAAGGAGGGAAAUGCACAAGCUCCAUACAAGUUUUCUCAAUUAAAUCUUACGUUCAAUCCCAAGACAGUGACAAUUAUCUGGAAGGCCUCAACGGUGACAGUGAUACGAUACAUAAGUAUUUAUUGUAUAAUUGCACUCUUUGUAGACCCCCAUGGAUAUCCAUCAUACUACCUCCAUAGAUAUCCAUCACACCCAUGUAAUAACUAGGUCUACUUUUGUUGUUUGUUUUGCAGGUACCCUCGAAAGUAGCAUUUAUCGUUGUGGGAAUGAGAGCGUCGAUAAUAGAAGGGAAGUCGGAUUGGUGUGCUAAUGGCUGCGAUGAUGGGGGCUGAUCAGUACUGAUCUGGUUCAGUAGCAAUGAUUGGUUCUACAGGUACAUUGGUUAAUAUGAACUACAGGCGAUAUGUGGUCAGGUUCUGAAGGUGACAUAGUUAAGGUCUGGCCAUCGAAACCCAUUGAAAAAUCCAAGUCUUUAGACUGGGUCUUGUGGAGCUUCCCAGCCUCUUCCCAAAUGCCUUUACACAUCAGCCUGGGAAGAGCCUAGCCCCAGCGGUAAUUCCCGAUUUAAAUAGUGGACGGGCAAUGGUCAGCCGUUUCAAAGAGAAAAACGGGUUAUCAUUACCCAUUCCUCUCAAAACGGUCCACCAUCAUCCGCUUAUAGUGAAACGAAUGCUCAUUAGCCGUUCUAUAUAGCUUGACCAGUCAACACCCCCUUUCAAGUUUUCUUCAAACAUCAAACAGAGAACUCGAUUCAGAGUUUUAAAGGGAUGAUUGACCCGGUCUUAAGUUAGAUUUUCAGCUAAGUAACAAUAUAUGACAAGGAUUUGUGAUUGGUUCUCAAUGAGCUUUUCGGGUGAACGAUGAUUUUCUCAUGUGUACGUGUUUUCAGGCUUGUGGUGAAUUUGUUAA